rnacentral:rRNA from 1 species
UUGAACGCUGGCGGCGGCCUAACACAUGCAAGUCGAACGGAGUGGCGAACGGGUGAGUAACGCGUGAGCAACCUGCCUAUGACAGUGGGAUAGCCUCGGGAAACCGGGAUUAAUACCGCAUAGUCAUAGAUGGGCUCGCGUCUGAUUAGCUAGUUGGUGAGAUAACAGCCCACCAAGGCGACGAUCAGUAGCCGGUCUGAGAGGAUGAACGGCCACAUUGGAACGGAGACACGGUCCAAAAUCCUACGGGAGGCAGCAGUGGGGAAUAUUGCACAAUGGGGGAAACCCUGAUGCAGCGACGCCGCGUGAACGAAGAAGGUAGUCGUAUAGUAAAGUUCUGUCCUAUGGGAAGCAGUACCAGAGAAGAAAGCUCCGGCUAAAUACGUGCCAGCAGCCGCGGUAAUUC